rnacentral:lncRNA from 10 species
CUCUGUAAGUGCAUGUAAGUGCAGACCAUGCAUAACGACUUUUUUUUUUUUCCCCAAAAAGUACUUCAUGGAAAGAAAAACAGUAACUUUACAAAUACUAUCUCAAGCCAGGUGAUCAAGGUUAACAUCAACAGUGAUAAGUCAUAAUGAUAGUAUGUACCCUUCAAAUUAUAUGAUGAGAAUGCCAUCUUACCUCUCUGUCUUCCUCCCAAAAACAUAUUAACCAUGAGGAAAACAUCAAAUUCCAGUUAAAGGAGAUUCUACAAAAUAGGCCUGACCAGUAAUCUUCAAAAUUGUGAAGAUCACCAAAAUUGUCAAGAUCACCAAAAAUCUGAAAAACAGUCACAGUCCAGGGGAGCCUAAGGAGGAUAAGAACUAAAUGUGGUCCCAGACAAGAUCCUGGAACAGAAAAUGAACACUAAGGGAAAACUAAGGAAAUAUGAACAAGGAGAUUCCAUGAAAGGAGAGAGGCUGGCACAGCUGGUUGUUCUAUGGCCAUGAGGAGAAGCAUGACAAGAGAGAAGAGAUGCCACUAGAUGAAAAGAACUCUCCAGAGAAGAGUGGAGGCCCAAACUGGGAAGUUAGCUGUAGCAGCUGAUGUCACAAAGCCUGGCUGAGGACCAAAGAGAAACAGGUUCGUUUGGAAGUUCGUAUCUGAGCAGACUGGCUCAACCAGAAGUCCAGAAAAGUGUGGACCAGCUUCAACAGGACAGCACUAACACAGACUACUGCAGUCUCUGCACAGAGAGGCCUAAAGGAGAGGUCACAGCAGUACUCUGCAGGGCAUAACCCUUACAGAAGAACUAUUUGAUGGCAACACACGUAGAAACAAGUAGACAAACACAGCUGUGAAUGAUAAACUCAAAUGACAGUGCUCAGGCAGACAACGGC